UGGGGAAUCUUGGACAAUGGGCGCAAGCCUGAUCCAGCCAUGCCGCGUGGAUGAUGAAGGCCUUAGGGUUGUAAAAUCCUUUCGCCGAGGACGAUAAUGACGGUACUCGGAGAAGAAGCUCCGGCUAACUUCGUGCCAGCAGCCGCGGUAAUACGAAGGGGGCUAGCGUUGUUCGGAAUUACUGGGCGUAAAGCGCACGUAGGCGGAUUUGUCAGUCAGGGGUGAAAUCCCGAGGCUCAACCUCGGAACUGCCUCCGAUACAGCAAGUCUCGAGUCCGGAAGAGGUGAGUGGAAUUCCUAGUGUAGAGGUGAAAUUCGUAGAUAUUAGGAAGAACACCAGUGGCGAAGGCGGCUCACUGGUCCGGUACUGACGCUGAGGUGCGAAAGCGUGGGGAGCAAACAGGAUUAGAUACCCCUGUAGUCCCUGAGCGGGCUGGCAAGGCGCAU
rnacentral:rRNA from 1 species